GAUGAACGCUGGCGGCGUGCCUAAUACAUGCAAGUCGAGCGAACAGACGAGGAGCUUGCUCCUCUGACGUUAGCGGCGGACGGGUGAGUAACACGUGGAUAACCUACCUAUAAGACUGGGAUCACUUCGGGAAACCGGAGCUAAUACGGGAUAAUCUAUUGAACCGCAUGGUUCAAUAGUGAAAGACGGUUUUGCUGUCACUUAUAGCUGGAUCCGCGCCGCUUUAGCUAGUUGUUACGGUAACGGCUUUCCACGGCAACGAUGCGUAGCCGACCUGAGAGGGUGAUAGGCCACACUGGAACUGGGACGCGGUCCAGGGGCCUACGGGAGGCAGCAGUAGGGAAUCGUCCGCAGUGGGCGGAAGCCUGGCGGAGCGGCGCGGCGUGAGUGAUGGAGGUCUUCGGAUCGUAAAACUCUGUUAUUAGGGAAGAACAGAUGUGGAAGUAACUAUGCACGUCUUGACGGUACCUAAUCAGAAAGCCACGGCUAACUACGUG
rnacentral:rRNA from 1 species